rnacentral:lncRNA from 1 species
UUGUUUAUCCGAAAGUGAAGUUUAGAUAAACUUAGAUUUAUGAUGAAUUAGAAUUCACGUAAAAUUUUUUUUUUUUUUUUGUAGUUUGUUUGUGUUAAAUAAUGCAAAACAACUGUUAUUUCCAAAAGUAUAAGCUAACAAUGAAUAGUGUUUAAAAUUUUUUAUAUUUAACAUUCUCUCUCAUCUUUGGGCUCGAUACUUUUUGAUAGCUUAGUUACGUGAACUUGAAUUAAAUAGAAGAAAAUCAAUUACGUUAGGAGAUUGCUAGGACUCGGCUAGUUAAAUAACGCGAAACAGUCAUUAUUUUCAAAAGUUUGAGCGCUUUUAGAGAAAACAGUUGUUUCAUAUAAUUUAAUAUUUUGUAUGGCUAUGAAGCUGAACUUUAAAUUUUUACUUUUGAAAAACUUUUAGCAGAAGGUGCAUGACGUAAAAUUUGAAAUGUUGUGAGAGAUAGGUUAAUAUUAUUAUUAUUAUUUUUUUCAUAAUUGUUUUCAACAAAGAGUUUGAGUAUCGAUCGGCGGUGAAGUUAGAGUAAAUACAUUAUAUUGAUCCAUAUUUUAAAUUUUUUUUUUUCUGACAAUAAUAAAUAUUACUCUGAUAAUAUCUGUUGUCGUAACGUAUACGCCAUUUCUAAAAUGUUCUAAACUAGCAUUACGUAGAUCAAAG